ACGCACGGCUUCAUCGCCCGAUACAGAGUUGAGUGGAGCUCUUCGUCGUGUCUUCAUCCUCUGUGUGGCACCGGAUUCAUCACAGACACCAGAAACCCAGAGUUCAGCAUCACGGGACUCCAGACUGGUGUGCAGUAUUACGUGCGGGUCAGUGCGUAUAACGUCAGAGGUUGGGGUUCGUUUGUGAGCAGCAGCCCCCCGUGUGUCG